rnacentral:lncRNA from 1 species
UAUAAGUUAUUAUAUAUAUAUUUUUCCUUUUUUUUUUUCACUAAUAACAGAAAUAAAUGCACAACUAGAGAAAGCAAAGACAGACUGUGAAAAACUUAAAACAGACAACGAAGAGAAAGAAAAAACUUUGCAAAAAUUAACGAUUGAUUUGUAAUUCUUCAAAAAUCGAAAAACAAAUAAAUUAACAAUCGAAAAUUAUGUCAUUAAAAUAAUAUUAACAUUUUGUUUUUUUAUUUUUUCCUUUUUUUCAGAGAUAAUAAAACUCAUUCCUACAAUUUAUUACAAAAAGAACAAAAUAUGAAUAACUUGAACACCGAAUUAAGCAAUGUAAAUCAAACAGAAGAAUUAAUCAGACUUCAAAAAGAAAAUGAAAAUUUGAGAAAUAGAAUAGAAUCUGAUACAAAUAAAGAAUCAAACAGGGUGAAAGAAGUUAGUCUAAUAACCUUAUUAUGCAUUCAAGUUGUAUACAAAUGCACACAUAUGUAUAUAUGUAUAGUACACCUAAGUUAGUGGAAAAAUUUAUUUUACACUUUUUCUACGUCACCGCAUUUUACCUUUUUUUUUGUUUUAGCUUGAAAAAGAACUCGAGGAUUUGAAAAUAAUAAAUAUCAAUUUAAAGAAUGGAGUAUUAAAAGA